UGGGUGGAGUCAUAGACGGCUGUGGGCUGCUGUGUGGGCCUUAGGAAUCAAACCAGGAUCCUCUGGAAGAGCAGGGAGUGCUCUUCACUGCUGAGUCAUCUCUCCAGCCUCGAGGACCAGGUACAGACAACCAGCGACCAAUCCUGUUUGUACCAGAGCCACUUGAUGCCAGCCCUCCCUCCUGGACCACCCCUUCCUCUGUAAAUGUCUGCCUCCACCUCUCCUCGCCCUCUCCGCCCUGACUGACCUGGAUGUCUCUUCAAAGGACAAGGCCCACUUCUCUGCGUGGGCUCUGUGGGACGACACACUGGCUUCUCUGAGAUAUCGUCUCUUAGAUGGUAGCUAACACAAUGACAGUGGACACACGUGAGAACCCAGCAGCAUGAGAGUCGGGCUGGCUGCUGGGAAGGGCCCUGGACUUGGGAUGCUUAAGAGACAAGAUGGACAGAUCUGGUGGGGAGUUGGUGAUUGGAUAGUAUGUGAGGUUGGGGGUGGGGUGGGCUUGCCACCCAAGGGAGCUGGGGCUUCUGAGGGGAAUUAGGUUCAUAGAGGGCAAGUUUCUGACCUUUACCAGAAACUUCGUGGGAACCGGGCCCUUUCUGCCACUGUUGCGAGCAGGAACCCCAGAUUCUAGGCUCUUGAUUCAGAGUCUGAA
rnacentral:lncRNA from 1 species